AGUGAACGCUGGCGGUAGGCCUAACAAAUGCAAGUCGAACGGCAGCACAGGAGAGCUUGCUCUCUGGGUGGCGAGUGGCGGACGGGUGAGGAAUACAUCGGAAUCUACUCUGUCGUGGGGGAUAAAGUAGGGAAACUUACGCUAAUACCGCAUACGACCUACGGGUGAAAGCAGGGGACCUUCAGGCCUUGCGCGAUUGAAUGAGCCGGUGUCGGAUUAGCUAGUUGGCGGGGUAAAGGCCCACCAAGGCGACGAUCCGUAGCUGGUCUGAGAGGAUGAACAGCCACAAUGGAACUGAGACACGGUCCAAACUCCUACGGGAGGCAGCAGUGGGGAAUAUUGGACAAUGGGGGAAAGCCUGAUCCAGCCAUACCGCGUGGGUGAAGAAGGCCUUCGGGUUGUAAAGCCCUAUUGUUGGGAAAGAAAUCCAGCUGGCUAAUACCCGGUUGGGAUGACGGUACCCAAAGAAUAAGCACCGGCUAACUUCGUGCCAGCCGCCGCGGUAA
rnacentral:rRNA from 1 species